UACGUAGGGUGCAAGCGUUGUCCGGAAUCAUUGGGCGUAAAGCGCGCGUAGGCGGCCCGAUAAGUCCGCUGAACAAGUCAACGGCUCAACUGUUGAAAGCCGGUGGAUACUGUCGGGCUAGAGUACGGAAGAGGCAAGUGGAAUUCCUGGUGUAGCGGUGGAAUGCGCAGAUAUCAGGAGGAACACCGGUGGCGAAGGCGGGUCUCUGGGCAGUAACUGACGCUGAGGAGCGAAAGCGUGGGGAGCGAACAGG
rnacentral:rRNA from 1 species